GUCUACGGCCAUGCCACCCUAAACAAGCCCCAUCCCAUCUGAUUGCGGAAGCUAAGCAGGGUCAGGCCUAGUUAGUACUUGGAUGGGAGAUGACCUAGGAGGACCAGGUGCUGUAGACA
rnacentral:rRNA from 1 species